CAAAGUUAAACACUUGGGGACGGACUCGCCUUUCGGGGCUCGAGGCCUGACUCCAUGUUGUAACAAACUUUCAACCACUUGUGAAUUUGUAACAAAUUUUCUCACCAAUUGACUGUUAACCGAAGUCUGAUUCAAAUUGUAUUGGUGUUAUAGACACUUAGUAAAAUAUGAAA
rnacentral:misc_RNA from 1 species